CGGACCGAAACUGAAGCAAACCAAAAAAUUGGGCGGGAACCGUGCGAACAUGUUCGAUCCGUACGUCGUAGCGAAGCCGAUGUCGUAAAUUAUAAACUGCACCGGGUGGACAAGAGAAAAAAACAAAAACAAAAACAAAAACAAAACAAGGAGAGAAACAAAAAGAAAAGAAGAUACAAAAUUAAAGAGUCGGGCACGUGUUCCAUCGGUUAUCGUUUUCUGAUCGUGAACGUUAAAGCCCGUUUCAUUGGUCCGGUUAUACU
rnacentral:misc_RNA from 1 species